rnacentral:lncRNA from 1 species
GCUGGAGAUCUGUAGGAAUCUCAGUGCUGUAGGCUACAUUUGGGAAGACCAUACUACUGAAAAAUAUUGUAAAAGUUCUGGAAGACAUGGAAGGUAGUUUUCAUGUGCAAAAUGAUAAGAAAAUGCCUCCCAAGAAGGUUUAAUAAGUCCAGCAACUUUUAAAGAAAUGCAACAGGGUAAAAUAUGCUCUGCAUAUCACAUUGAUUAGGUUGUCAUUAUAUGUUUACAACCUUAUAAUAAGCAUAUAGUCCAUAGAAAAUUUGUGGUGAACCAUAUUCAUAUAACAACAUGGCUAAAUUUAGUGAGAUGGACAGUUUACGAGAUUCAAGAAUGGUUUUGUGGAGAAAACGUAAACCCUGUACCAAAUCUCUGUGAGGAAAAAACGUAAAACUGUGUGAAUGUAAUGUAGAACCCUUCUUUUGGAAUGUGUUGAAAGUAAUGUGUUAUUUUUCUUUUGAUAUGAAUGUCAUAUGUCCCUAUGGAUGCAAGCCAUGUGAACACAGCGAUAGUGA